rnacentral:rRNA from 1 species
UACGGAGGGUGCAAGCGUUAUCCGGAUUCACUGGGUUUAAAGGGUGCGUAGGCGGGUUGGUAAGUCCGUGGUGAAAUCUCCAAGCUUAACUUGGAAACUGCCGUGGAUACUAUCAAUCUUGAAUAUCGUGGAGGUAAGCGGAAUAUGUCAUGUAGCGGUGAAAUGCUUAGAUAUGACAUAGAACACCAAUUGCGUAGGCAGCUUACUACACGAUCAUUGACGCUGAGGCACGAAAGCGUGGGGAUCAAACAGG